UACGUAGGGGGCAAGCGUUGUCCGGAAUUAUUGGGCGUAAAGAGCUCGUAGGCGGUGUGUCGCGUCGGCCGUGAAAACCUGCAGCUUAACUGUGGGCUUGCGGUCGAUACGGGCAUCACUGGAGUUCGGCAGGGGAGACUGGAAUUCCUGGUGUAGCGGUGAAAUGCGUAGAUAUCUGGAGGAACACCGGUGGCGAAGGCGGCAUCCUGGACCAAUUCUGACGCUGAGGAGCGAAAGCCAGGGGAGCAAACGGG
rnacentral:rRNA from 1 species